CCUACGGGAGGCAGCAGUGAGGAAUAUUGGUCAAUGGGCGCGAGCCUGAACCAGCCAAGUCGCGUGAGGGAUGACGGUCCUACGGAUUGUAAACCUCUUUUGUCGGGGAGCAAAACACGCCACGCGUGCCGUCUCGAGAGUACCCGGAGAAAAAGCAUCGGCUAACUCCGUGCCCGCAGCCGCGGUAAUACGGAGGAUGCGAGCGUUAUCCGGAUUUAUUGGGUUUAAAGGGUGCGCAGGCGGAAGAGCAAGUCAGCGGUAAAAUUGAGAGGCUCAACCUCUUCGAGCCGUUGAAACUGGGUUUCUUGAGUGAGCGAGAAGUACGCGGAAUGCGUGGUGUAGCGGUGAAAUGCUUAGAUAUCACGCAGAACCCCGAUUGCGAAGGCAGCGUGCCAGGGCCUGACUGACGCUGAUGCACGAAAGCGUGGGGAUCAAACAGGAUUAGAUACCCGUGUAGUA
rnacentral:rRNA from 1 species